rnacentral:rRNA from 1 species
GGUUAAGCGACUAAGCGUACACGGUGGAUGCCCUGGCAGUCAGAGGCGAUGAAGGACGUGCUAAUCUGCGAUAAGCGUCGGUAAGGUGAUAUGAACCGUUAUAACCGGCGAUUUCCGAAUGGGGAAACCCAGUGUGUUUCGACACACUAUCAUUAACUGAAUCCAUAGGUUAAUGAGGCGAACCGGGGGAACUGAAACAUCUAAGUACCCCGAGGAAAAGAAAUCAACCGAGAUUCCCCCAGUAGCGGCGAGCGAACGGGGAGCAGCCCAGAGCCUGAAUCAGUGUGUGUGUUAGUGGAAGCGUCUGGAAAGGCGCGCGAUACAGGGUGACAGCCCCGUACACAAAAAUGCACAUGCUGUGAGCUCGAUGAGUAGGGCGGGACACGUGGUAUCCUGUCUGAAUAUGGGGGGACCAUCCUCCAAGGCUAAAUACUCCUGACUGACCGAUAGUGAACCAGUACCGUGAGGGAAAGGCGAAAAGAACCCCGGCGAGGGGAGUGAAAAAGAACCUGAAACCGUGUACGUACAAGCAGUGGGAGCCUCUUUAUGGGGUGACUGCGUACCUUUUGUAUAAUGGGUCAGCGACUUAUAUUCUGUAGCAAGGUUAACCGAAUAGGGGAGCCGAAGGGAAACCGAGUCUUAACUGGGCGUUAAGUUGCAGGGUAUAGACCCGAAACCCGGUGAUCUAGCCAUGGGCAGGUUGAAGGUUGGGUAACACUAACUGGAGGACCGAACCGACUAAUGUUGAAAAAUUAGCGGAUGACUUGUGGCUGGGGGUGAAAGGCCAAUCAAACCGGGAGAUAGCUGGUUCUCCCCGAAAGCUAUUUAGGUAGCGCCUCGUGAAUUCAUCUCCGGGGGUAGAGCACUGUUUCGGCAAGGGGGUCAUCCCGACUUACCAACCCGAUGCAAACUGCGAAUACCGGAGAAUGUUAUCACGGGAGACACACGGCGGGUGCUAACGUCCGUCGUGAAGAGGGAAACAACCCAGACCGCCAGCUAAGGUCCCAAAGUCAUGGUUAAGUGGGAAACGAUGUGGGAAGGCCCAGACAGCCAGGAUGUUGGCUUAGAAGCAGCCAUCAUUUAAAGAAAGCGUAAUAGCUCACUGGUCGAGUCGGCCUGCGCGGAAGAUGUAACGGGGCUAAACCAUGCACCGAAGCUGCGGCAGCGACGCUUAUGCGUUGUUGGGUAGGGGAGCGUUCUGUAAGCCUGUGAAGGUGUGCUGUGAGGCAUGCUGGAGGUAUCAGAAGUGCGAAUGCUGACAUAAGUAACGAUAAAGCGGGUGAAAAGCCCGCUCGCCGGAAGACCAAGGGUUCCUGUCCAACGUUAAUCGGGGCAGGGUGAGUCGACCCCUAAGGCGAGGCCGAAAGGCGUAGUCGAUGGGAAACAGGUUAAUAUUCCUGUACUUGGUGUUACUGCGAAGGGGGGACGGAGAAGGCUAUGUUGGCCGGGCGACGGUUGUCCCGGUUUAAGCGUGUAGGCUGGUUUUCCAGGCAAAUCCGGAAAAUCAAGGCUGAGGCGUGAUGACGAGGCACUACGGUGCUGAAGCAACAAAUGCCCUGCUUCCAGGAAAAGCCUCUAAGCAUCAGGUAACAUCAAAUCGUACCCCAAACCGACACAGGUGGUCAGGUAGAGAAUACCAAGGCGCUUGAGAGAACUCGGGUGAAGGAACUAGGCAAAAUGGUGCCGUAACUUCGGGAGAAGGCACGCUGAUAUGUAGGUGAAGCGACUUGCUCGUGGAGCUGAAAUCAGUCGAAGAUACCAGCUGGCUGCAACUGUUUAUUAAAAACACAGCACUGUGCAAACACGAAAGUGGACGUAUACGGUGUGACGCCUGCCCGGUGCCGGAAGGUUAAUUGAUGGGGUUAGCGCAAGCGAAGCUCUUGAUCGAAGCCCCGGUAAACGGCGGCCGUAACUAUAACGGUCCUAAGGUAGCGAAAUUCCUUGUCGGGUAAGUUCCGACCUGCACGAAUGGCGUAAUGAUGGCCAGGCUGUCUCCACCCGAGACUCAGUGAAAUUGAACUCGCUGUGAAGAUGCAGUGUACCCGCGGCAAGACGGAAAGACCCCGUGAACCUUUACUAUAGCUUGACACUGAACAUUGAGCCUUGAUGUGUAGGAUAGGUGGGAGGCUUUGAAGUGUGGACGCCAGUCUGCAUGGAGCCGACCUUGAAAUACCACCCUUUAAUGUUUGAUGUUCUAACGUUGACCCGUAAUCCGGGUUGCGGACAGUGUCUGGUGGGUAGUUUGACUGGGGCGGUCUCCUCCUAAAGAGUAACGGAGGAGCACGAAGGUUGGCUAAUCCUGGUCGGACAUCAGGAGGUUAGUGCAAUGGCAUAAGCCAGCUUGACUGCGAGCGUGACGGCGCGAGCAGGUGCGAAAGCAGGUCAUAGUGAUCCGGUGGUUCUGAAUGGAAGGGCCAUCGCUCAACGGAUAAAAGGUACUCCGGGGAUAACAGGCUGAUACCGCCCAAGAGUUCAUAUCGACGGCGGUGUUUGGCACCUCGAUGUCGGCUCAUCACAUCCUGGGGCUGAAGUAGGUCCCAAGGGUAUGGCUGUUCGCCAUUUAAAGUGGUACGCGAGCUGGGUUUAGAACGUCGUGAGACAGUUCGGUCCCUAUCUGCCGUGGGCGCUGGAGAACUGAGGGGGGCUGCUCCUAGUACGAGAGGACCGGAGUGGACGCAUCACUGGUGUUCGGGUUGUCAUGCCAAUGGCACUGCCCGGUAGCUAAAUGCGGAAGAGAUAAGUGCUGAAAGCAUCUAAGCACGAAACUUGCCCCGAGAUGAGUUCUCCCUGACUCCUUGAGAGUCCUGAAGGAACGUUGAAGACGACGACGUUGAUAGGCCGGGUGUGUAAGCGCAGCGAUGCGUUGAGCUAACCGGUACUAAUGAACCGUGAGGCUUAACCUU